AUUGAACGCUGCCGGCAGGCCUAACACAUGCAAGUCGAACGUUUUGCGGCUGGGUGAGUACUGUCUGGGAAUUUUCCUGGUGGCGGGGGAUAACUACUGGAAUCGUUAGCUUAUACCGCAUACCAUCAGAUGUGCCCAGAUGGGAUUAGCUAGUUGGUGGGGUAACGGCUCACCAAGGCGACGAUCCCUAGCUGGUCUGAGAGGAUGACCAGCCUCACUGGAACUAGAACACGGUCCAGACUCCUACGGGAGGCAGCAGGGGGGAAUAUGGCACAAGGGGCGAAAGCCUGGUGCAGCCAUGCAGCGUGCAUGAAGAAGGCCGUAGCGUUGUAAAGUACUAGCAGCGGGGAAGCGUUAACCGCGGAGGAAGCACCGGCUAACUCCGUGCCAGCAGCCGCGGUAAUAC
rnacentral:rRNA from 1 species